ACUUCCUCGGCGGCAGUGGCCUGAGGUGCCCGCUGGGUGGCGCCAAAGGUGCCCACGGGGUCAGCGGCCGUUUUGCCUCUGCGUGGCUGCGGCCUGGCGCCGUGCUGUGCGUUGCUGGUUGUCCCUCCGCUGUGCCGCUGCGUGAUGAUGACCGAGCUGAUAGCUGCGCCCGAGAGCGGCAAUCUAACCUUGCAUCUGUUUCGUGCACGGAGAAAAAAUGGAAGGGAGUGAAGGAGAGGAGUGUGUUUCUACAAAGAGCUGAGAGAGCCUGUUGUUUACGCUGUGUAAAGAUGCACUUUUGGUUUUGCAGGGAAAAAAAAACGAACAAACAAAGCAGUUUGUGGAUAAAGAAUGUACAGGAUGUGUUCCUGAAGGUUUUCUCAGCCACUCGGGAAGAGGUCUCUGAAGUCAACAGUUGGCUUGUCACGACAGCUGAAGCUGUUGAUUUUGGCAGUUUUAGUUUUGUUUUCUUCUUAAUCCAGACUAAUGCUUCUGUUCUUCAUGACGAAAAAUCUUCCCCCAAGUACUUUGCUACUCAUGUGAGUAUUGGCACGAUGCUCCAGUCUUCUGGCAUGUUCCCUGUUUUUCUGAAGACAAAUAUCUUCUCAGCGUGUUUAGAAGGGGACUGAGAAGAGUGAAUGAAUACUGUCUGUAUCGUUUUGCCAAGCUGUAAUCUUUAACUGGGAUUUAACCAAUUAAUCUAACUAGGAGCAAACACGGUUAUCAGUGCAAACAGCCAUCUGUUCAUAUCCUCCUAUGUAGCCCCUGUACAGAGUAAUCUAAAAGAUGCAGAACACAAGGGACAAUAG